UACGUAGGGGGCAAGCGUUAUCCGGAUUUACUGGGUGUAAAGGGAGCGCAGACGGCAGUGCAAGUCUGAUGUGAAAGCCCGGGGCUCAACCCCGGAACUGCAUUGGAAACUGUACAGCUUGAGUGUCGGAGAGGUAAGCGGAAUUCCUAGUGUAGCGGUGAAAUGCGCAGAUAUCAGGAGGAACACCAAUGGCGAAGGCAGGUCUCUGGGCCACUACUGACGCUGAGAAGCGAAAGCAUGGGGAGCGAACAGGAUUAGA
rnacentral:rRNA from 1 species